GUGAACGCUAAAAGUACAGUUUACACAUGCAAGUUGAGCGGUAAAGAUUUUAUUAGCAGCGUACGGGUGAGUAAAACGUAGUGAACUGCCUUGCAAUUUUUGAGAAAUUCAAUAAUAAUACAUAAAGAUUAAAUCGUUGCAAGAUGUUGAUACGUAGGAUUAGGUACUCGGGUAGCUUAAAACUUAUCCAAGCCUUCGAUCCUUAGCUAGUUUUAACGAAUGAUUAGCCACAUGGGAACUGAAACACUGUCCCAAUAGAACCUCUGUUAAUACAAGUCUAGCAGCAGUGACGAAUAUUGGACAAUGAGCGCAAGCUUGAUCCAGUGAUACUUUAAGGGUGAACCAGUAAUGUAAAUACCUUUUGAAAAUUUUAGAUAAUGACAAAAUUUUUAGAAUUAGUCCCGGCUAACUCUGU
rnacentral:rRNA from 1 species